UACGGAGGAUCCAAGCGUUAUCCGGAUUUAUUGGGUUUAAAGGGUGCGUAGGCGGAUUGAUAAGUUAGAGGUGAAAUGUCCGAGCUCAACUCGGGAACUGCCUCUAAUACUGUUGAUCUAGAGAGUAGAUGCGGUAGGCGGAAUGUGUGGUGUAGCGGUGAAAUGCAUAGAGAUCACACAGAACACCGAUUGCGAAGGCAGCUUACAAAUCUAUAUCGGACGCUGAGGCACGAAAGCGUGGGGAGCAAACAGG
rnacentral:rRNA from 1 species